AAGAUGCUUAUGAUCCUUGAGGUCUUGCAAAUGCAAUGCUAUGAUGCCAUGAGGGAUCUUAGGGCCAAAAUUGGGGUCUUACAGAUACCAAAUCGUACAUGAACGGAGAAAUAGGAGACACAAGGAGCUCCGAUGGUACAUUCAAAGCAGUAAUCCAGACAUAUUUACUCAUUCAACAGUUAUCAAGUCAUUAUGCAUUAUGAUGGAAGUCGAAAUACCUUCGUC
rnacentral:lncRNA from 1 species